rnacentral:misc_RNA from 1 species
AAGUCGUAACAAGGUAACCGUAGGUGAACCUGCGGUUGGAUCAUCCGAGAGAGUGGCACACGCAGUGUGACACGCAGUGUUACACGCAGUGUGUCGCUCGUAAUAGUUAGUGACUUGUAUCUUUUCUCGUUCUUUUCAGUGAAUCACAGAAAAAAGAGAGAGAGAAGCACGUUCACUUGCAAACACCAAUUCCAGCGAAACGCACAAUAUCUCUGAAAAAGAGAGAGAAGCACCAAUUGAAAUCACUCUACAACAAGACAACAGAACGAGAAAGAAACAGAAAGAUACAACUUUUGACAAUGGAUCUCUUGGUUCUC